rnacentral:rRNA from 1 species
GGCCGCGGGAAUUCGAUUAGAGAAGCUUGCUUCUCUUGAGAGCGGCGGACGGGUGAGUAAUGCCUAGGAAUCUGCCUGGUAGUGGGGGAUAACGUUCGGAAACGGACGCUAAUACCGCAUACGUCCUACGGGAGAAAGCAGGGGACCUUCGGGCCUUGCGCUAUCAGAUGAGCCUAGGUCGGAUUAGCUAGUUGGUGAGGUAAUGGCUCACCAAGGCUACGAUCCGUAACUGGUCUGAGAGGAUGAUCAGUCACACUGGAACUGAGACACGGUCCAGACUCCUACGGGAGGCAGCAGUGGGGAAUAUUGGACAAUGGG